GCCACACGAAGAACCUUACCAGGGUUUGACAUGCAAGUGGUAGAGAAGCGAAAGCGGAACGACCCUUCGGGGAGCUUGCACAGGUGCUGCAUGGCUGUCGUCAGCUCGUGUCGUGAGAUGUUCGAUUAAGUUCGCUAACGAGCGCAACCCUCGUUGCGUGUUACAAGUGUCACGCGAGACCGCCGGUCUUAAACCGGAGGAAGGUGAGGAUGACGUCAAGUCAGCAUGGCCUUUAUAUCCUGGGCUACACACACGCUACAAUGGCCAGUACAAUAGGUAGCCAAACCGCGAGGUGGAGCCAAUCCUAAAAACUGGCCUCAGUUCAGAUUGCAGGCUGCAACUCGCCUGCAUGAAGAUGGAGUUGCUAGUAACCGCAGGUCAGCUAUACUGCGGUGAAUACGUUCCCGGGCCUUGUACACACCGCCCGUCAAGUCAUGGGAGCUGGUAACACCUGAAGCCGGUAGCCUAACCGCAAGGAGGGCGCCGUCGAAGGUGGUGCUGGUGACUGGGACU
rnacentral:rRNA from 1 species